GAGAAACAAGUUGCGGGGCUCGGGGUUCGCCGCCCGUCCCCUCUCCCGUCUCUGUGCUACUGGAUCCUCUCACGCCCCGGCGAUCGCCGGCGGCCACGGGUCGUGACACGCGGCAACGAAGCAGGUACCCAUCUUUCUUCCUCCUUGUUCUGUUCUCUACCAGACGCAGUUCUCGGCCAGCCCUGCGUGAUCUCGGUAAGUGGAGCAAGAGCCUCAGCAUCGGUGUGGACGACCUGGUCGGCCAAUGCCUGUGCAAAGAAAUCAAGAACCGAGAUGUUUAGGAUUCGGACAGCCUCCGGAUCUCAAGAAGUACAUGGACAAGAAGCUUCAGAGUAAGUGAGAAUCUCUUGAUUCCAAACCCUAAAUCACAAAAAAUUAACUGUGGUCCUGCUUCCAAGUUCCUCGUGUACAUCCAGUUUCCUUUGAUUGUACGGAAGAACGUGCGUGUCAAGUCUGUUUUAGUCUGGUAGUGGUGAUUAGGCAUGUACCCGAUCUUUAGUAGAUCGACUAACUAUACCUCUAGCAGCAUUUCGAUAGUUGCUUCAAUGGCUCAUUUAAUCGCACUGUUUUAGAAAUUAUCGCUCGUUGUUAGCUUAGCCGAACCAAAUUUUGUUUUGUUUAUCCUGGUGUUACACUAGCAUCAUUGCUUUUGAGCUGAAAUAUCAAAGCUAUGGAGAUUGUUUGAUAUGCUUUUGGUAUUCCAAAUGUCCUAUAUGAUGAACACAAUAUAUCAAAGCUAUGUAUUUAUCUCCAGAUGAAGCUUUAUGUCAUAGUUACUCUGAUGGGAUAUUCACUCGCAAUUUCUUUUCAUCUUUAGAAUGGCAUACUGUGUCAAGAGUGUUCUGAUAGUUGCAUUGUAUUUAUUGACGAUUCUUUUGGUGGUCCGUAGUCAUACCUAUGGUGGAGUGGUAACUAUUCUAUUAUGAUCAUUGUCACGUUUUCUUUUAAUAUUUGUGGUUUUUCCCCAUUGUGAUUUGUGCUGGAUGGCUGCCCUGCAUGAAGAUGAUAUUAUAAAAAAGCUAUAGAUUAAUUUCAGAUGAGGGUUUUAUUGUCGUAGUUACUCUGGUAGGCUGCCAUAUCAGUAUUUUUUAAUUUAACCUACUUUUGUACAAAUUAGUCUAUUCGUUUAGGGAUCAGAUAGUCAAUCAGGUGUGUCUUCCCAGAUGAUUUACUCCAAGAUUUAUAAUUUGCCAUCUGUGAUUUUAAGUGUGAUGUGGCACUCUCUAAGCACGAAGAACAUUGUGAUGUUGGCAUUGAGGUAACUCUAUUCCCUGGCCAAUUAUGUUCCCAUUUCAAUCACAACAACAUUUGAUGUGAAAUCCCUACCUGCUACUUGUGAUUUGUGUCCUAGGGGCACACCACAGAGAAAAAGAAUCAAAGAAUAAGGGAACAGAAAGGGAGGAACUGGAAGGGAUGUGUGAAGGUGAACUCCUGUAGUUUUUUUUACAAAUAUCUGAAUUAUAUCCUAUUUUCUGUGUUGGUUCAUUGGGAAAAGCUCAGGCCCUUCCUACAGCUGGUGCUCCCAAUCUGAGGUAGACUGUUGAAACAAGCUUCAAAUAUGCAGAUUCAGCAAAGUUGUGCAGGCAUUGGCUACAGCUUUGGUUGGCCUUGUGGCCUGAAGGCAAGAGGCAUUGAGGAAGAUGCAAGUUCUGAGCUGUUGUGAUGCUAGAGAGCCGAGCACGAUGGAUAUAAGGAGGGGGUGUUUUUGUCCUUUUUUUUGCCAUAUAAAAGCAAAAUAAUAUUACAUGAAGAAUAGUGGAUCAUAUGUAUUUUCCAGUGUCACCUGAAUCUCCUUGCAUGUUAUUUUGCUUAGCUCUACGGUAGUUCAAGUUAAAUAGAUUCAUACUAACUAGAAGAUAAAAACAACUACCCUUGUGCUGCAAAUACAAUCGUUUGUGCAUAAUGGGAAAUAUUGUAAAAGCUGACUUGAAUUUUCCUUGUAUAUACUAUUUUAGAGUUCUGGCCUUCAGCUAAA